UACGUAGGGGGCAAGCGUUGUCCGGAUUUACUGGGCGUAAAGGGCGCGUAGGCGGCCGCCUAAGUCAGACGUGAAAUCCCUCGGCUCAACCGGGGAACUGCAUCUGAUACUGGGUGGCUUGAAUCCGGGAGAGGGAUGCGGAAUUCCAGGUGUAGCGGUGAAAUGCGUAGAUAUCUGGAGGAACACCGGUGGCGAAGGCGGCAUCCUGGACCGGCAUUGACGCUGAGGCGCGAAAGCCAGGGGAGCAAACGGG
rnacentral:rRNA from 1 species